rnacentral:rRNA from 1 species
AUUCCCGAGUAGUAUGGGGCACGUGAAAUCCCGUAUGAAUCUGCGAGGACCACCUCGUAAGGCUAAAUACUCCUGAGUGACCGAUAGCGAAAUAGUACCGCGAGGGAAAGGUGAAAAGAACCCCUGUUGGGGAGUGAAAUAGAACAUGAAACCAUGUGCUCUCAAGCAGUGGAAGGGCUGUUGUAGCCUGACCGCGUGCCUGUUGAAGAAUGAGCCGGCGACUUAUAGGAAGUGGCUGGGUUAAGGAGUUAAAUCCGUAGCCCAAGCGAAAGCGAGUCUUAAUAGGGCGUAAAUGGUCACUUCUUAUGGACCCGAACCCGGGUGAUCUAUUCAUGACCAGGUUGAAGCUUUUGUAACAAUAAGUGGAGGACCGAACCGACCGAUGUUGAAAAAUCGGCGGAUGAGUUGUGAAUAGGGGAGAAAUUCCAAUCGAACUCGGAGCUAGCUGGAUCUCCCCGAAAUGCGUUGAGGCGCAGCGGUAACGAUGUACAAUCUUGGGGUAAAGCUACUGUUUCGAUGCGGGCUGCGAAAGCGGUACCAAGUCGUGGCAAACUCAGAAUACAAGAUUUGUUUUCCGUAAACCAGUGAGACUGUGGGGGAUAAGCUUCAUUGUCAAGAGGGAAACAGCCCAGAUCACCAGCUAAGGCCCCUAAAUGGUUGCUAAGUGGAAAAGGAUGUGAGAAUGCUGAAACAACCAGGAGGUUUGCCUAGAAGCAGCCACCCUUGAAAGAGUGCGUAAUAGCUCACUGGUAAAGCGUUCUUGCGCCGACAAUGGCCGGGACUAAGUGACCUGCCGAAGCUGUGAUAUAGUU